AUCCGGCUGGCGAGUCCCAAAUAGAACGAAAAGUGCAUCAUGGAU
rnacentral:hammerhead_ribozyme from 1 species